rnacentral:rRNA from 1 species
UACGUGGGGUGCAAGCGUUGUUCGGAAUUACUGGGCGUAAAGCGCGUGUAGGCGGUUUGACAUGUUGGAUGUGAAAGCCCUUGGCUUAACCAAGGAAGUGCGUCCAAAACUAUCAAACUGGAGUGCGGAAGAGGAGGGUGGAAUUCCCAGUGUAGAGGUGAAAUUCGUAGAUAUUGGGAGGAACACCGGUGGCGAAAGCGGCUCUCUGGUCCGCAACUGACGCUAAGAAGCGAAAGCGUGGGGAUCAAACAGG